rnacentral:tRNA from 1 species
CGGGCCGUCGUAUACCGGUAGUACGCCUGCUUUGGGAGCAGGUAGACAGGGUUCGAUUCCCUGCGGCCCGA